GAAGUGCGAAUGCUGACAUAAGUAACGAUAAAGCGGGUGAAAAGCCCGCUCGCCGGAAGACCAAGGGUUCCUGUCCAACGUUAAUCGGGGCAGGGUGAGUCGACCCCUAAGGCGAGGCCGAAAGGCGUAGUCGAUGGGAAACAGGUUAAUAUUCCUGUACUUGGUGUUACUGCGAAGGGGGGACGGAGAAGGCUAUGUUGGCCGGGCGACGGUUGUCCCGGUUUAAGCGUGUAGGCUGGU
rnacentral:rRNA from 1 species